rnacentral:rRNA from 1 species
AUUGAACGCUGGCGGCAUGCCUUACACAUGCAAGUCGAACGGUAACAGGUCUUCGGAUGCUGACGAGUGGCGAACGGGUGAGUAAUACAUCGGAACGUGCCUAGUAGUGGGGGAUAACUACUCGAAAGAGUGGCUAAUACCGCAUGAGAUCUGCGGAUGAAAGCAGGGGAUCGCAAGACCUUGUGCUACUAGAGCGGCCGAUGGCAGAUUAGGUAGUUAGUGGGAUAAAAGCUUACCAAGCCGACGAUCUGUAGCUGGUCUGAGAGGACGAUCAGCCACACUGGGACUGAGACACGGCCCAGACUCCUACGGGAGGCAGCAGUGGGGAAUUUUGGACAAUGGGCGCAAGCCUGAUCCAGCAAUGCCGCGUGCAGGAUGAAGGCCUUCGGGUUGUAAACUGCUUUUGUACGGAACGAAAAGCUCUGGGUUAAUACCCUAGGGUCAUGACGGUACCGUAAGAAUAAGCACCGGCUAACUACGUGCCAGCCGCCGCCGUAA